UUUUUCACGUGAGAACCAGAUCAAGGAGAGAGAGAGAGUGAAGGAACGAGCUCUAGCCACCACCGUUCACAUUUUCCGUUCCUGGCGCCGAUUCCGGCCAAAUCCGGCCAAAAUUUUUACACCAUCCUCUUCCUCUCCUCAUGGGCUUUCUAUCCAUAUAAGUUUCAUAAUUUAAUUUCACUUGUGUGCAACGAAUCGAAGGAGAGAAGGUUUGAUAAUUCUCGGCUAAUUUCCCGAUUUCCGGCCAAACCGUCGACUUUUUGGAGAAACCCCAAGGUAAUUCGGUUGAGCAAACUUCCGAGGACAUUCCCGAGAUGGGACUCACCUAGUCACCCUUCAUUGUUAGCGUUGCAGAGGUCGGAUCAAUAUCCACGUCAAAGGCAUGCAUCCACUUGAUCUUCUGACAUCAUUCGUAUAGUUUACCUAGUAGUAGUUCUUAUGUUAAUUAGAGGAGCUUUGAGAUGCCAUAAGUAUACUGAGGUCUAUUGAAAUUGCAUGUAAAUAUUGGACGAGACACUUGUUUUAUCUAUUCAUUGAUGGUUAGUGAAAGUUGAUUCUGUGAGAGACAAGAGGUCAUAUUUGGGAGUUAUUGGAGAUAUAUGAUAUUAGAAGUGUAUUGUUGAUU